rnacentral:rRNA from 1 species
AGUGAACGCUGGCGGUAGGCCUAACACAUGCAAGUCGAACGGCAGCACAGUAAGAGCUUGCUCUUACGGGUGGCGAGUGGCGGACGGGUGAGGAAUACAUCGGACUCUACUUUUUCGUGGGGGAUAACGUAGGUAAACUUACGCUAAUACCGCAUACGACCUACGGGUGAAAGCAGGGGAUCUUCGGACCUUGCGCGAUUGAAUGAGCCGAUGUCGGAUUAGCUAGUUGGCGGGGUAAAGGCCCACCAAGGCGACGAUCCGUAGCUGGUCUGAGAGGAGGAUAGGCGGCAUGGGAGGUGGGCCAGCGUCCUGAGUCCUGAGGGACGGAGCAGUGGGGAAUAUGGGGCAAUGGGGGGAAGCCUGAUCCAGCCAGACCGAGUGGGUGGCGAAGACGCUCGGGUUGGAAAGCCGUUUUGUUGGGAAAGAAAAGCAGCAGGUUGAUACCCCGCUGUACUGACGGUACUCAAAGAAGAAGCACCGGCUAACUUCGUG